ensembl:lncRNA
GGGCUGCCCAAUGCCCUAGUGGGUUCUGGCAGCCAGAAGAGAGAGAACUGGCGGGUUAAGUGGUUGACCGGUUAACAGGUAAUCAGUUUAACAGGUUAAAAGGGUUAACAGGCUGAGGCCAGAGGAGGCCGUGGCUCUGCAGCUGUACUGAGAUCAUUACGCAAAGCAGACGUGCAUACUGGGUUAAUGAGGACGUGGGCGUCCUCUGACUUAAUUAUAUAUCUCACCAUAGAAAAAUUGCAGAAGUGCAAUAUGCACUGAUUCUGAGCAGAAGCCCUGAGUUGUUUUUGUCAACUGGUAAUAUACCUAAUAUCUGAUACUUGAUGAUUGUUGCUAGUACAAUUAUUUGAAGACAUACUCUCUAUAAACCCUAUUGUAACUUGCCUGUAACAACGGCAGGCCAUGCAAAGGCCGGCUGAGUCCCCUCAAAACAGGCUAAAAAUGAAGCAAAUUAUACUAAUUGUUAACCAAAUAAUGCUAAAUGAUUUUAAGAAACUUCUAGACUGCUUGUCGUGGAUAGAUCUAACCUUGCCUAACCUAAGCCUUUGUUAAACGUUGGUGAACACAGACUCCUCGCCACCUCGGUAAGGGCCCAUUUAACAUGCAAAAGUUGGGCGGCAAAAACAGAGGUUGAUGAGCACUACAUUCGACGAAGCAAGACCCUUCACUUACCGAAAUGGAAUAUAUGAGGGCUGCUACUCCGAGGGGCAGGCAGCAGCAGAGCAUGGUGAAGAUGGAGUAGCCCAGGAUUCCACCCUGGUUCAGGGGCGCUCGCUGCCUUGUUGGGGUCCAUCGGUUUUAAAAGUUUAUGGAUUGUUCCACGCGAAAACUUGGCUAAUGGAUUCGACUUAAACGUUAUCUAACCAAGGGCUUGAUAGAAUAUCGCAACGUCCUCGCUUCCCCUCACCCCUCGACUUCGUAAAGAAUUUUAAGUGAGGACAUUUACUGGAAAUGAUGUUGGGGGGAGCGGAUGCAAAGGGCGGGGCGACGGGGAGGGAGGGGCUGAUGGCAUAGUGAAAAGCGUGUGGGGGGGAUUGACUGCUGACCCCAUCCGGCCGACCUAUCCGGCAG